GAUGAACGCUGGCGGCGUGCCUAAUACAUGCAAGUCGAGCGAACGGACGAGAAGCUUGCUUUUCUGAUGUUAGCGGCGGACGGGUGAGUAACACGUGGAUAACCUACCUAUAAGACUGGGAUAACUUCGGGAAACCGGAGCUAAUACCGGAUAAUAUCUUGAACCGCAUGGUUCAAAAGUGAAAGACGGUCUUGCUGUCACUUAUAGAUGGAUCCGCGCUGCAUUAGCUAGUUGGUAAGGUAACGGCUUACCAAGGCAACGAUGCAUAGCCGACCUGAGAGGGUGAUCGGCCACACUGGAACGGAGACACGGUCCAGACUCCUACGGGAGGCAGCAGUAGGGAAUCGUCCGCAAUGGGCGAAAGCCUGACGGAGCAACGCCGCGUGUGUGAUGAAGGUCUUCGGAUCGUAAAGCUCUGUUAUUAGGGAAGAACAGAUGUGUAAGUAACUGUGCACAUCUUGACGGUACCUAAUCAGAAAGCCCCGGCUAACUACGUG
rnacentral:rRNA from 1 species